rfam:Rhodovulum sulfidophilum DNA, complete genome, strain: DSM 2351.
UUUGGUGGUCAUAGCACGAGCAAAACACCCGGCUCCAUUCCGAACCCGGCCGUUAAGUGCCGUCGCGCCGAUGGUACUGCGUCUCAAGACGUGGGAGAGUAGGUCGCCGCCAAAC